UACGUAGGGACCGAGCGUUGUCCGGAUUCAUUGGGCGUAAAGAGCUCGUAGGCGGCUGUUCAAGUCGAACGUGAAAACUCGGAGCUCAACUCCGAGCCUGCGUUCGAUACUGGACGGCUAGAGUCUGGUAGGGGGAUCUGGAAUUCCUGGUGUAGCGGUGGAAUGCGCAGAUAUCAGGAGGAACACCGGUGGCGAAGGCGGGAUCCUGGGCCAGUACUGACGCUGAAGAGCGAAAGCGUGGGGAGCGAACAGG
rnacentral:rRNA from 1 species